rnacentral:rRNA from 1 species
UACGAAGGGGGCUAGCGUUGUUCGGAAUUACUGGGCGUAAAGGGCGCGUAGGCGGCCUCGUCCGUCCGGCGUGAAAUGCCUGGGCUCAACCUAGGAAUUGCGCUCGAUACAGCGAGGCUAGAGUGUGGGAGAGGUUGGUGGAAUUCCGAGUGUAGAGGUGAAAUUCGUAGAUAUUCGGAAGAACACCAGUGGCGAAGGCGACUUACUGGACACAUAUUGACGCUGAGGUGCGAAAGCGUGGGGAGCAAACAGG